GUGAGCAGUUCGAGGAGCUACGACCGGUGGACGGUACCCGACACGGGGAGCGACGGCCGUUCAUGUACAAGGACCUGGCGACGGCCGAACAGCCCGAAGCAGGAGAUGGCAGCUCGGCAGGGUCGGCGACACGGAGCCGAGAGGAUGCGGCCGACGGACGGGCGGCGCGAGGCCAGGACACCGAGGUCGAGCAGCGAGACGAGCGAGAGGACGCGAGGCCGCUGCCCCGAGAAAGCGAGAGGACGACGAGAGCGGGAAGAAAGGUCCGAUUCCCGAGUCGUUUCCAGGCGGGCCUGUGACGUCGAGGAACCAGGAUGUGCAUCGAGAGCCGUGAGAAACCGCCGCGAA